rnacentral:lncRNA from 1 species
CCGUCCCCUGAAUCAGGCGUGCCAGUCAUUCGUCAGCAGGGACCAGGGAGGAAAGGUGGCACAGAGAAUACCGCGUGAACAUGCACCGCCUUUCAAGGCCGCGGCCCCGCCCCUUAGCGAUAGUCUUCCCAGCGCUGUGGGUCCUGACGGAUCAGGAGCAGUCGUGUGACCGAGUGUUGAACAAUGAUGCAUAAGGAGAAGUCUUCUGAAGGUGUGCCGGGGAGGGACGGAGGGAGACAGACAGACUGAAGUGAACCGUGUGCAAGGAGAAAGCACUUAGGUUCCACCUACCUCCUUCCUGCUAAAAUGCUGUCCUACCUGGAUGGACGGAAUGCUUGCAGCGUGGGCAGCCAUCCUGGG